CAACUUUCAGCAAUGGAUCUCUUGGCUCUCGCAUCGAUGAAGAACGCAGCGAAAUGCGAUAAGUAAUGUGAAUUGCAGAAUUCAGUGAAUCAUCGAAUCUUUGAACGCAUCUUGCGCUCCUUGGUAUUCUGAGGAGCAUGCCUGUUUGAGUGUCAUCA
rnacentral:rRNA from 3 species